rnacentral:rRNA from 1 species
GUGGGGAAUAUUGGGCAAUGGGGGAAACCCUGACCCAGCAACGCCGCGUGAAGGAAGAAGGCUUUCGGGUUGUAAACUUCUUUUAUGAGGGACGAAGAAGUGACGGUACCUCAUGAAUAAGCCACGGCUAACUACGUGCCAGCAGCCGCGGUAAUACGUAGGUGGCAAGCGUUGUCCGGAUUUACUGGGUGUAAAGGGCGCGUAGGCGGGAUAGCAAGUCAGGUGUGAAAUCCGGGGGCUCAACCCUCGAACUGCACUUGAAACUGUUAUUCUUGAGUGAUGGAGAGGCAGGCGGAAUUCCUAGUGUAGCGGUGAAAUGCGUAGAUAUUAGGAGGAACACCAGUGGCGAAGGCGGCCUGCUGGACAUUAACUGACGCUGAGGCGCGAAAGCGUGGGGAGCAAACAGGAUUAGAAACCCCAGUAGUCC